rnacentral:lncRNA from 1 species
AUAGGCUAGACAUAUUUUGUGUUUGAGAUGCAGUAGGAUGCACUGCUUGGCAUGCAGCAAAUCGGCAAUAUGAUCUGGGAAUUUGCUGGAGGGGUAAUGAAUAGAACGAAUUGUUCUUCAACUACCCGUUGACCAGGGGACUCUAAACCAACUGACCCUAUGUUGACAUGACAUGACGAGCCUUAACGGAACCCUGACCCUGUCAAAUUUGACUGGACAGGUGAAAGAGAGUCUCUUCAAGAUACUUCUAGCAGUCUGGCCUCUGCAGUCACAAAGUAGGCUUUGGACUACUCACACCUCACAAGCACCCCGGCAGCUGCCGUGUGUGCAAGAGCAAUGCGGGCUUCAAAUCUACUUCUGCUACUUCUCGCUGUUAAUUGUCUGUCCCCAAGCCCGGUAACUGGACAAGGGCUGACGCUUCCUGAGGCUCUUCGCCUUAAGGCAACAGUUGGUGUGGACAAACUGGUGCGCUGCAGUCUCUGUGAACGCUUUGUCCUACACAUUUCACAACGCUUUGCGUAGAGAGAUUGCAAUGCCUCGCAGGACUUUGCAUCUGCUCUUUUGUGUUAAAUAUUGGCUAAACAAGUCAAUGGAUACUCGCGUGUCUUGCAGGGUAAUGUUGUCAACAAACUUCUCGUGAAAGGUGAGACCAUCACUCCGAACAAGCUAAACGUCGUCAGAUGUCCCAGUAUUUCUGAAAUGCAGGCAUGUCAAGGCGGAAUUCUUAAUCUAAUAGGGGCAUAUAUAGCGCUCCGUUCUGCAAUCUGGACUGGACUGGCCAUCUACUCCGAGUAGAGUCUUUGACGCAAAUCUGCAAAGUCAUCCCUGAUUGAAAGCCUUGACAAGGAUGUGCGGCAAUUGUUGCAAGCUCUGGCUGAUAUUAACUUCAGCUUAAUGUCCAGGGAUUCACACGAGCAUACCGCAGACCCCAACAACCACUCCGCAGAGUCUAACGAGUCUACCUCAAGUUGUCACGAGCACCCCUCUGCCUUCCAGCACUCCGGAGUUUCCUCAAUCAACUUCUACCACUGCUAUCCUCUUGCAGUCUAGCACGCCGACUUCCACCGGCACACCAUUGAACACGUGAGUAUCCCGGAUUCCGUCACCGCUCUACAUAUCAAUAAUUUAUGCAUGUAACAGUGCAUUUCUUAGAGACAUAAUCUAGCCUCUGAGAGAGGAUUGACGAGACCAAUGAAUGUUAAGCUCGCGAGUCAACUUUACAUUUUGCCUGGGCAUACAUUGUUGAACGCUAGGAUGCUCAUUAAACAUUUGGGAAGUAAUCAAGACUUUUUGACAUUUUGUUGGUUGAACCCUUCCAGGAUAUAUUUUACCUCAACCACCAUCUCCACACCUUCGAGUACUCUGCCUCCGCCAACAAGUACUCUUCCACCGCCCACAAGUAGUCUGCCUCCGCCCGCAAGUACUCUGCCUCCGCCCACAACAACAUUUGACGAGUAAGAAGUCCUGAAACAUGGUAUCAUUGAUCACGAGUCUGAGAUUACACAUAGUAUGCAUAUGGUAGUGCCAAAGCGCAUCCUUUGAACACGACUUCGGAGCCCGGGUAUUGAGAGGUCUGGACCUUCUUGGUGGCGCCAUGGUCACACAUUUGCAAGCAUUGCGUCGUUAACGUUAACAUUGCGCCUAAACGCCGCUUAAUCCUCGAAGCUUGCUUGCAGUUCAAUUUCCUACCUUUUGGCAUGGUCACAGUGAAAGAAUUUAGUAAAGUCCACGGUGAUUAAAGUGGGAUUCAAUCCUUAGCUAGCUUAGCGCUAAUAAGUUGCUUGACAUGCAGGUGCUCGCCGUUCUCUCCUAGGACCAAUUGUGUUGCUAAUUCGUGCGAUUUGCCUCCAAAUCCGCCCUUUGAUUUUUGCGGAUGCAGUCAGCUUGAUGACGUGAUCCUUGACCUCGUUGAACAUGCGGGGGUUCAAGAUUUGACUUAAAACUCUUGCCUUCGAAUUGUUUUCGCGGAGUUCUUCCUCGAGAACUUACCCGACUUGACAUCCCUCGUAGGCCUUGAGGCAAGUCUUAUUGCCCACUCAUGAGCCUUUAUUAAGGAGCCACAUUCUUGUCUUUUGUUGCGAUUAUGACGUUGCUUUGUCCAAGAUGCAUAUUAAAGAUCAUGUUGUUCAAACUUUUUGGUUGCGAUUUAUGAUGUGUGACUUACACGUGGUUAUACAUUUGCGCAGCGUUUGACUUCGACAGGCAACUUCAUUCUCCAAAACAAUAUUGCCCUUACCGCCAUCGAUGGCUUCCCGGUGUGGAUCUCAUUUCUGACCGUAGCUUUUGAAGCAUUUUCACGAUAGUGUUUCAAGUGUGUUUCCCUACACGUCAUUUUACAAAUGCGUACAAGGGUCCUCCAAGGGAGUCCAACUUGGAUUGAAUCAAGCAAUCAAUCAAAGUGAUUAUGCGGUUUGUUGGUCAUAUGCCUAUUGCCUCAGUGAGCGUGCAUUCCUUGCAACCCUUGGAUGCAUUCAAUGUUGGCACCAUGAAUAGUGGCUGCUUGGCACACUUAUAUACUAGAAAUUUUGUAACUAAUUCCCUUCGCAUUCCAUUUAGGCCCUAGAUACCGUCAACGGAGCAAUGCUAAUCAAGGGCGAUGAGUUUGGCAAUGAUGUCUCGACCACCAUAAGCGGAUUUCCGGUAAGAGAAUGAUUCUUGGGACACUCCUGGGAACAUGAUGUAUUUUUAA